rnacentral:rRNA from 1 species
UACGUAGGUGGCAAGCGUUGUCCGGAUUUAUUGGGCUUAAAGGGUGCAUAGGCGGCUUAUUAAGUCAGUGGUGAAAUACUCUAGCUCAACUAGAGGGGUGCCAUUGAUACUGAUGAGCUUGAGUACAGAUGAGGUAGGCGGAAUUGACGGUGUAGCGGUGAAAUGCUUAGAUAUCGUCAAGAACACCUAUAGCGAAGGCAGCUUACUAGGCUGUAACUGACGCUGAGGCACGAAAGUGUGGGGAUCAAACAGG